AUGGACGCUGGCGGCGUGCUUAACACAUGCAAGUCGAACGGGGAAUAUUUUAAAGAAGCUUCGGCAGAUUUAGUUUGUUCCUAGUGGCGGACGGGUGAGUAACGCGUGGGUAACCUGCCUCACACUGGGGGAUAACAGUCAGAAAUGACUGCUAAUACCGCAUAAGCGCACAGAGCCGCAUGGCUCAGUGUGAAAAACUCCGGUGGUGUGAGAUGGACCCGCGUUGGAUUAGCCAGUUGGCAGGGUAACGGCCUACCAAAGCGACGAUCCAUAGCCGGCCUGAGAGGGUGGACGGCCACAUUGGGACUGAGACACGGCCCAGACUCCUACGGGAGGCAGCAGUGGGGAAUAUUGCACAAUGGGGGAAACCCUGAUGCAGCGACGCCGCGUGAAGGAAGAAGUAUCUCGGUAUGUAAACUUCUAUCAGCAGGGAAGA
rnacentral:rRNA from 1 species